rnacentral:rRNA from 1 species
CCUACGGGAGGCUGCAGUGGGGAAUAUUGGACAAUGGGGGGAACCCUGAUCCAGCCAUGCCGCGUGUGUGAAGAAGGCCCUCGGGUUGUAAAGCACUUUCAGUGAGGAAGAACGCCUGGUGGUUAAUACCCAUCAGGAAAGACAUCACUCACAGAAGAAGCACCGGCUAACUCCGUGCCAGCAGCCGCGGUAAUACGGAGGGUGCGAGCGUUAAUCGGAAUUACUGGGCGUAAAGCGCGCGUAGGUGGCUUGAUAAGCCGGUUGUGAAAGCCCCGGGCUCAACCUGGGAACGGCAUCCGGAACUGUCAAGCUAGAGUGCAGGAGAGGAAGGUAGAAUUCCCGGUGUAGCGGUGAAAUGCGUAGAGAUCGGGAGGAAUACCAGUGGCGAAGGCGGCCUUCUGGACUGACACUGACACUGAGGUGCGAAAGCGUGGGUAGCAAACAUGAUUAGAUACCCCAGUAGUC